rnacentral:rRNA from 1 species
GACAGAGGUGCCGAGCGUUAGGCGGAAUCACUGGGCUUAAAGCGUGCGUAGGUGGUUUGUUAAGUCUGUUGUGAAAGCCCCGGGCUCAACCUGGGAAUGGCAAUGGAUACUGGCAGGCUAGAGUGCGGUAGAGGGUAGUGGAAUUCCCGGUGUAGCGGUGAAAUGCGUAGAGAUCGGGAGGAACACCAGUGGCGAAGGCGGCUACCUGGACCAGCACUGACACUGAGGCACGAAAGCGUGGGGAGCAAACAGGG